rnacentral:lncRNA from 1 species
CCGGUCCAAGAGGAGGCUAGCUCUACCCCAGACACACACACGCGCUCACACACACUCGUUCAAACACAGUGAAAUAGAGCGGUUCAGAGGACGGAAACGUUCUGUGAAGUAUACACUGCGUGGUUUCUGUGGAUGGCCUGAGUGUCUUCAGCUGCGGCAGAAUCCUCUGAGGAACUGGCCUGACUCAUCUGCGUCUGUGACAGGUCAUGUCCAUGAGCAGGAGUGGAUAACCCAAAGCGCCCAAACCGGCUCACUAACACUCAAAUCCAUGUUUAAAGAUGCUGUCAGGAAAGGAAACGCAUGGAAAAGUUGCUACCAGACUGCUGUCUGAAGACGACGUUUUGUCUGCCAUUUCACAGAGCCGUUUCUCCUUCUGACCUACAGCAGCCAUUUCCUACGCU